UACUUUUGCACCCGUCUUACAAGAGUAUGUUCGACAUACAUAAAAAUCAUUUAAAUAAUAUUAGCAUG
rnacentral:ncRNA from 1 species